CAGUCGCUACGGGAAUACGUAGGGUGCAAGCGUUGUCCGGAAUUAUUGGGCGUAAAGAGCUCGUAGGCGGUUUGUCGCGUCUGCUGUGAAAUCCCGAGGCUCAACCUCGGGCUUGCAGUGGGUACGGGCAGACUAGAGUGCGGUAGGGGAGAUUGGAAUUCCUGGUGUAGCGGUGGAAUGCGCAGAUAUCAGGAGGAACACCGAUGGCGAAGGCAGAUCUCUGGGCCGUAACUGACGCUGAGGAGCGAAAGCGUGGGGAGCGAACAGGAUUAGAUACCCGGGUAGUCCCUGUCUCUUAUAA
rnacentral:rRNA from 1 species